CAGCCCGAGCUGCCCGCCCGGGGGCGACUGCGCCGGCCGCCGCCCAGCAAGCCGCCUUUGAUCUCUUCCCUGCCCAUGAAGAUGUACUUGAGUCCUCCAUUCCACUUUGAAUAGCCAGCUCCUGUCCACAUGGAACAGCAUGACAUCUUUUAUCUUUUGCUACCUGCAGCACCUAGCAGAGGCCAGCAUUCAAUAACAGAGGAGCAAGAGGCUUGCUUUAAAGGCCUCUGCAAACUUGUAUGAGUAAAACGGUUCUGACCAUGUUCCCAGGUUCCUCACGCAUAGUGGUGAUGAGAUAGUCUACCAUCCUAACUGGGGCACCGUUGAGAGUGAACGGAGGCACUGUUAAUAAUUAGACGAAGUGCACGCUCACAGUACCCAUGACCUGCUGUGCAGCUCCUUCACUUCAAGAGCUACUGUAAGGCCCGGCUCCCCAACCAGAACCCCUGUUGUCUUCCUCAAUGAAGAAGGCCUCUGAAGACAAGUGACUUAAGAACAUAGUUUAUAUGUAUUGAAUACUGUUGUGCCUUUUCACAGAG
rnacentral:sRNA from 1 species